rnacentral:miRNA from 1 species
CAUGCCAAUUGAGAACUUGCUGG